UACGAAGGGUGCUAGCGUUGCUCGGAAUCACUGGGCGUAAAGCGCACGUAGGCGGAUUGUUAAGUCAGGGGUGAAAUCCUGGAGCUCAACUCCAGAACUGCCUUUGAUACUGACGGUCUUGAGUCCGGGAGAGGUGAGUGGAACUCCGAGUGUAGAGGUGAAAUUCGUAGAUAUUCGGAAGAACACCCGUGGCGAAGGCGGCUCUCUGGGACGGUACUGACACUGAGACGCGAAAGCGUGGGGAGCGAACAGG
rnacentral:rRNA from 1 species